AAAACACUCUCCCUCUAUCACUAAAAUUACCGCCGACCUACUAAAUAUUCGAGUUGCUACUGCUGAGUGGUAUCUCUGAUGAUAAAUAAAGAAUUGAUAUCGCACUUAGGAAAUUAAAUUACGUGUACUCGUACUAUAAUAGCAGAUACUUUAUCCGCCGACAUAUCUAAAGAGGUUAAGAAACAGGAAAUUAUCACCUGAAAUAUUUUGUCAGGUGGAAAAAUGGUUCUAAUUAUAAAAUGUAAACAAAAUUGAAUCAUUCCAUUCGAUACUGUGAGCAUGUUUUCCAGAUGAGUUUGUGUAAUAUCUUGAAAAGGUACGAUUGGUGUCGUGUUGUGGUAAUAGGAAACCCUGCAAUUACUGCCUACUAAUGUUUAAAUACAGAACAAAUUCAUAAAUAACUGGCAUUUUUCUAUAAAACCCAUUGACUAUGGUUCCAAUAAAAGAGAUAGUGCCAAUUAAUAAGUCGGGUGAAGAUACUAGGACGAGGUAGGACGGCAACGAGGUAGGACGGCAACGAGGUAGGACGGCAACGAGGUAGGACGCCUCCUGGACCACCCACGCUCCACAAACAGAUCGAACCAAUGCCAAGAAAGAUGCCUUCUGGCAACCACUCGACAAAAAGGCCUGUAACCUUCCAGCCGACACACAGUGCAUCAAAUGUAUCGAAAAUGUUGUCAAAAAUCGCCACUAUCGAGUUUGUGGUUUAUUUUGCAUCUAGAGUUAAUUUUAAACAUCAAUGUUUCGCAUGACGUAAAUAAAUUUAAAAUAUUUUU